CACCGGCGCAGUCUGCAGGGGGGGACAUCGGAGAUGUGAAUUUGAAAAGGAGCUCCGUCCGAUUUUGCCUUUGUGCCUUUUCCCUCAUCGAUCGGCUGAAUAUCGAACCCUCUGUCUGUGCAUGUGUGAAACGGAUAGCUUAGUAAGCAUUUUUUCUAAUCAAGCUCGCGUUGUGGGCCAACUCUCUCUCUUGCUCUCGAACCCUCCCUCUCUCUCUCUUCAUUUCACUGUUUUUCUUUCUUCAUUUCUCUCUCUCUCUUUCUCUUUUCCACUUUCUCUGUCUCUUAAACACUUCUCUACGCUUCUCUGUUUUGAUUAUCUGGGACAUUUGGAUAAGCAUGUUGUGAUGCCUCUUAUCAAUGUCAUUUUUUAUCUGUUAUUGAUCCUGAAGUGAUUUUAGCUUUGCGUUACUCGUGGAUUUGCAUGCUGCUAUACAACUGUUUGCUUUUUUAAAUCUCAACUAGGAUGACCACCAACCACAGAGGGACUUUUUAGACUGUUUAAACACAGAAAUUGGCAAAUGCACUAUUUUUGUUUCCAUUCCUUCUUAAAACAUGCAUGGAUGGCAAAUGGAAGACUUUCUUUUUAAAAAGAAAGAAAAACAAAUAUUUAAUGUGAAACACUGAUGUCUCAUACGUUUCGGUGAAGGAUUGAGAAUGCACCAAACUGGGUGUUUAAGGGUGCUGAAGAGGGGGAUUUUUUUGGAGAAAUUUGAUUGGACGGAGCCCCACGCAGUGUACCACACGCGCCAUGUCAGUAGCUGACGUGUGCAUCUGAAUGAAGGGCUCUUCCUCUGCUCGAUCCUGCUUUGUGGUUCUGUACAUCUGUUAUUCAUACAGCGCUCUUCCCGCGAUUAAGUCGUCUCUUUGUGGACAUGGAUGUCCUCACUCUUCAGUGUUUUUGGACUUGCGGACAGAUCGUGCUGUGAAUCGAGGGCAUGUCUGCCAGCUUGACACACACAGAAGGAGAGCAUGACAUCAGGGCUUUGUCAUUUGGAAGAUCUAUUCAAGGAUUACAGUGGAGAAUGAGCCCCUGCCUGGAGGAGGCUUAUUUCACUGAAACCCUAGCUCUUCUCACUACUCAUAUUUUUCUACGAGUACUUCUGGAAGUACGUAGCUUGGGAGAGUACUAUAGAGUUGGCAUGACGUAUACCUUCUAUUUCAAAUCAGAGACUUUUAACCCUUGGGCGACAUUUCAAAAUACAAAAGAGCCUGUGUGGCUGCAUACUAAUAUCACAUGAGCUUUUCAAAUAUGAUAAAAAUGACAAACACUGAUACUAUAAACUGUUUCUGUGAAUGGACCAGAUGAGGGUCUGAAAGCUAAGAUUCGACAAUUUCAGGCGUAAUUUUAGGUCCAGGAACUAAAAUGAUUUUUUGUAAUAUACUUCCAUGCUGUUUUAUAGUA